GGUAGAGUGGCUGAAUGGUAGGCGGUAGGCUGUAGUCCUACUCAUAUUGGUUUAACCCCUUUCUCUAUC
rnacentral:tRNA from 1 species